UUAUAGGAAGGCGGAAGCAGCAGGUGUUUAUAGCCGUUACAUCCUCUAUGGUUUCGAUGAAUCCUCAAGGGUCGUCCUCACUUGCAUCCUUGCUGUUACGGGUGGUUUAAUAUUUGGUUGUGAUCAUGGUGUUUCCGGUGGAGUUACGUCGGUGGAUUCUUAUGGAAGUGACAUUAACGAGCGACAGGAACAGUAAAGGGGACAUUUGUUUGUUUGGUGGGAAUCAACAAAAGUAUGUCCGCUAAAGGACACGAAGAAUGUCAUGACCCUUAGUUCAAUCCUACAUGCUAGAAGACAGAUCAUUCCUUUGACAGGCUCUCUAGUCAAAUUGACAUUAUUACUUGGGAUAGAAAAAAGAAGAUCUUCCUGUGAUGGUCUCUCCAAUCCAAGCCAUCAAUAUUGCUUGCGAUCAAAAAAAGAAGGCGCUAGUUCUAGUCAAGACAAGGGAAAGCAUAUGAGGUUUAGGAAUUAAAUUUCCUACUACUAUAAUGCCUCAAUUACUCUUAGUUAAUAUGUAAUUGCCCUGAUAUUUUCAACUAAGAUGUUCAUAUUUUGUUGUACUUGCACCAUUAAAUAUUGAGUAUUAAAAUGUGCAUUUUGGAUCCUAGUGCGUGUGGUAUCUUUUUAGUUGAGAUAUUUGUACAAGGCCAAAAUACUUGUGCAAGUAAGG